AACUGCAGUGCCACCUUUUGGAUGUAACACUGGUACCACAAAACCAGACUUAAAGGCGGCAAAAUCCACUCUGACCAAAGGUUCAGAGUGGAGUUCAGGGAGGGAAACAGUGGGUCCCUUUUCACCCUUAACUCCGUUUUCCAGCAUUUGGACAUGCAGCUAUGGAAAUCAGAGAUAAAAGGACCUCCAGUUUCUUAUUACAUCUAAAUAUGGCCACAACACCACCAAAACAAUCCCUUUUUCUCCAGCGAUCAGUGCAGAGGAGUGAGCCCCAAGGCUGAGAGAUGGGAUGCAUUACAGGAUGUAGAAAGCGGAGAAAAGAGUUCCCUAGCUGCAGAUCCGGAAAAGACAAUGGCAAGUUGGGUUUUGCCCACUACUGGUUCCUGAUGGGCUGCAUAUUCCUAUCAGCACAGUCUUCUCUUGCUUUAAAAGGGGACAAAGGACACACCACAAGAGGCCUCAUGGGAGAAAGUUGCCAUGAACAUUCAACUUGGAAAAAUGGCUGCCAGCCAAAGGUAAACCGCAACUAUUAUGUGUUUCGUAGAUUGAAUAAAAUCACUAUUGUGGAUCCAAGCAGAGACGGAGCUGUAAUUGUACACAGGGUUCAACGUGUUGGGAUUUGCUACAAACAUUGUCUCAGUCCUUUAUACAGGGCAUGCUUCUCUGUUUGAAUGUCUCUGUGUACUGGCUCGAGGGUGGAGUCAAAGUUUGUUUGUCUGCUCAUUUGUUGCCUUGAAUUCAAACUGAGAGGUUUUCCCUCCUUCUGCAGAAGAGACUGCUAGUCUGUUUAUUGUUCUCUUAGCCUAUGUUUAGUUAGUAAUAAAUAUCAAACUCCUGUUUCUCAGUUAAA